CCUACGGGAGGCAGCAGUGAGGAAUAUUGGUCAAUGGCCGGAAGGCUGAACCAGCCAAGCCGCGUGAAGGACGAAGGUGCCAAGCAUUGUAAACUUCUUUUGUCAAGGGACAAAAUCAGGCUCGAGAGCCUGACCGAGGGUACUUGAAGAAAAAGCAUCGGCUAACUCCGUGCCAGCAGCCGCGGUAAUACGGGGGAUGCGAGCGUUAUCCGGAUUUAUUGGGUUAAAGGGGUGCGUAGGCGGGCUGUAAAGUCAGCGGUAAAAGCCCGGGGCUCAACCCCGGCGAGCCGUUGAAACUGGCGGUCUUGAGAUGUCGAGAGGUAGGCGGAAUGCGCAGUGUAGCGGUGAAAUGCAUAGAUAUCACGAAGAACUCCGAUUGCGAAGGCAGCAUACCGGCUCCAUACUGACGCUGAGGCACGAAAGCGUGGGGAUCGAACAGGAUUAGAUACCCUGGUAGUC
rnacentral:rRNA from 1 species